AUCCGUCGGUUUUAGAAAUCGUGAGGGUUCAAGUCUAACUAUUUAUUCUCU
rnacentral:tRNA from 1 species